rnacentral:ncRNA from 1 species
UCACCAUCGAGACCGGCAGAGGGACAGGCCCUUUGAAGCCGGGGCAGCCCGCAGGCGCGCAAGCGUCCGCGUAGGUGCCAAAUCCUGCGGGGACCGUGGCGUCCACCGAAAGAUGGUUC